AUUCUUACCCUUCUUUGAUUCUCAAAAACAGUUUUUAUUAUGUUAAGCUAGUUUUUUUUUUUUUUUUUUUUUGACUAUUCGGCAAUUUCAACUGCUUUGAAGAGAUUUCGGAAAUGAUAGGCCAAAUGAUUUUCUCUCCCGAUUUCUUCGCUUUACUUACCCCUUCCUCUAUUAUAUGAGGAUUUUGGUGUCGCCAAGACAGAGAGGGACAUCGGGUUUUAU